AAUACAUCUUUGAUUCAAAAACCUCAUGUACAUUGAAACAAAAUCCAUUUUCCUUAAUUCGAGUAAAUUUUAUAUUGAACCGAAUUUUUAUUUCAUUGAACCAAUGUUCCAAGUUUUCGAAUCAAAAUAUUUAAAUUAAUUUCAAGGAAUUUUUGUUUUGACUCUGAAUCAAUGUAAAAAUUCAUUGAUUUAGAUGAAUUUUCUUUUGAAUCAAAUAAUUUUUUCGUCAAACAUUCGACACAUCUUGAUUAGCUACUGUUUGGUGAACGGGUCGGCGAGAAGUUUUUCGACGACCAGUCAUUCAUUUUCUGGGAAAUCUUCCUGCCGCGCAACAGUCAGAAAGCACCGGAAUCAUAAGAUCCGGCGCAGGAAAGUCUUGACGGCUAGAGGCCAAACGAUAGUGGACUAGGGCAACCAUUCAUCCAACUAAUCGCUACCGAUCUGGUCCAAGGAGACAUCUGGCGUCGAAACCCUUCAUGAGUUGUUCGAAAGGAACUGUCCGCCAACAAAUCAAUGUGCCGGUUCAAAACUACAGGGAAAAUCGAUAAUGUGAUGAACUUACAAAUUCGACUUACAAAUGAAUAAAAUGUUUUAAACCAUAAGUGAUUUCUUUUAUUUCCAAUUGGACGAAAAUUAAUAUAAAGUACUAGAAUUUUUAGAAACAAAACAUAGAAUGGAAAAACAAAUGCUUUAAAAUUGA